UAGGGAAUAUUGCAAAAUGGGCGAAAGCCCGAUGCAGCAACGCCGCGUGGGCGAUGAAGGCCUUCGGGUCGUAAAGCCCUUUUUGAGGGGAUGAGGAAGGACAGUACCCUCAGAAUAAGCCUCGGCUAACUACGUGCCAGCAGCCGCGGUAAAACGUAGGAGGCGAGCGUUAUCCGGAUUUACUGGGCGUAAAGCGCGUGCAGGCGGAUUGGAGAGUUGGAUGUGAAAGCUCCCGGCUUAACUGGGAGAGGUCGUUCAAUACUUCCAGUCUUGAGUGCAGUAGAGGCAAGUGGAAUUCCGGGUGUAGUGGUGAAAUGCGUAGAUAUCCGGAGGAACACCAGUGGCGAAAGCGGCUUCCUGGACUGUAACUGACGCUGAGGCGCGAAAGCGUGGGGAGCAAAC
rnacentral:rRNA from 1 species